GCCGCGGUAGCUCAGCCCGGAAGAGCACUCGGCUGAAGACCGAGGGGUCGGGGGUUCAAAUCCCCCCUGCGGCA
rnacentral:tRNA from 1 species